rnacentral:rRNA from 1 species
AUUGAACGCUGGCGGCAGGCCUAACACAUGCAAGUCGAGCGGAUGAAGGUAGCUUUCUCUUCGAUUCAGCUACCGACGGGUGAGUAAUUCCUACGUAUCUGCCCUGUAUUUGGGUAUAACGUCCCUUCACGGGCGCUAAUACCGUAUCCGUCCUUAUAGUGAACCUGAUGGUUCUUUGGAGCUACCGCUUUUUGAUGUGCCUUUUUCGUAUUAGCUAGUUGGUUAGGUAAAGUCCUACCAAAGCGACUAUCCGUAACUAGUCUGAGAGGCUGAUCUGUCACACUGGAACUGAGACACGGUCCAGACUCCUACGGGAGGCAGCAGUGGGGAAUAUUGGACAAUGGGCGAAAGCGUGAUGCAGCAAUGCCGCGUGAGUGAAGAAGGUCUUCGGAUUGUAAAGCACUUUAAGUUGGGAAGAAGGGAAGUAAGUGAAAACAUGGAUGUUUUGACGGUACCAACAGAAUAAGCACCGGCUAACUUCGUG